AUUAUUAGCCAGCAAGCACAGCAACACAAUAUGUCUCCAAACACUAUUGCUUCUCUUCUCAUUUUUUUGGUUUUUUCAAGUAUAUUACUACAUGAAGUGGAACCAAGAGAUGUUGUGUUCGUGCAUUGUGACAAGGACAGUGAGUGUGACAUUAUAUGUCGUGACGUACAUAAGGUUGAACCAUUAUGUUAUAAGCGUUACUGUAUCUGCGACCGCAGAUACUUCUGCAUGAAUGAUUUUAGCUGUAAACUUCAACCAAUUCAUUGUGAUGAUGAUAGUGGCAAAUCAUUUAAAUGUAUUCAUAACAUAUGUAAUUGUCUUUAGUACACUUGGUGAAAACAAAAAUGAAAAAUGUUGUGAUUUUAAUUCAUAAUAUAUAAAUAUAUAAAAGGUUGAUA